CUAUACACGUCGCCCGUGUCGGCUGAACCAGCGAUUGACGAAUUUAGACGCCAUAUCUACCGCUAAACCCACUGCCUUUAAACCGCCGGGUUCCAAGCUGUGAGGCGUGCUCGAAGUUUUGCGUCGCGGUUACUCCAGUUCUGACGUCGACUUCUGCAAGCGCGAUUACCGGGCUCGCACGACCCAUUGGUGCUCCUGGAAUGCAUAUGCUACGCCCGGCGGCCAUUUCAUCCCUUCUCACGCAUGAGCUGUCACGCUUGACGCAAACGAUUCCGGUGCUGUCUUAAGUCGCGCCUGCAGUGAAGUUUUCUUUUGUUUGUGUACGCCUGGAUAUUCAACUGACUAUGUCAAUCAACCGGGGGACAACGAAGCAACUGUCGUCGCCACCAGCUAACCUUCAAGAUCUGCAACCUGUACCUCAGCCCCUAGCGCAUGUUCCUGCACCCGACCGUGUCUCGCACAGAUGACGUUCAGUACCUGUCAUCCAGCAGCUGAUCGUGUCUUUACUUCUGUUCCUGCCUCACUGAUAUGUGUCCUGCUGAUUGAAGAUGCCUGCAAUCCCCGCCCUGCAGAACUUCCACUGCACGUAAGUAUAUCAAGUUCGUCCAACCGAUGCUGUGACGGUGUGCUGACGAGUCAUUAACAUGACGACUGUUUCUCCUUUCAGUUCCGCAUCCUUUGGUGCCAGACGCACACGGCGGAUUUUCCUGCACCCGAUCGUGUCUCGUACAGAUCACGUUCAGCACCUGUCGUUCAGCAGCUGAUCGUGUCUUCACUUCUGCUCCUGCCUCACUGCUAUUGGUGUCCUGCUGAAUGAAGAUGCCUGCAAUCCCCGCCCUGCAGAACAUCCACUGCACUCUGCAACCCUUGUCUUGACAUCUGCCGCCCAUCAAGGUCUGUCCCACUAGCGUAGUAGACAAUGACACAACGUGCAGAACAUAGGGAGGCUCUCGCCACUCAUCACAUUGCUGCUCCCGAACACGUCGUGCCGCAGGAAACGUUCUUCGCUGCCUCGACAAUGCCACACAGCUAUGAAAUCCCGAGAAACAACAUAACGUCGCGUGACAUAAAUGCUCAUCCAACAUCCCGGUUGGAGUUGUUCGUUCCACCCUAUGUCAGUGCGACGGCCACUAGAUGAAGUCGCACGCUAUUCAGUGGCUCUGACCGUAUAAUGUGGGUUCCGAGGAAUCCAAGGUAAC